rnacentral:rRNA from 1 species
UGAGGAACAUGACCUUCGGCGGGGGAUAGCCGGCCCAACGGCCGGGUAAUACCGCGUACGACCACAUGGGGACAUCCCUGAGUGGUGAAAGCAGCAAUGCGCCGAUGGAGUGCCUCGCGGCCUAUCAGCUAGUUGGUGAGGUAACGGCUCACCAAGGCGACGACGGGUAGCCGGCCUGAGAGGGUGACCGGCCACACUGGGACUGAGACACGGCCCAGACCUCCUACGGGAGG